rnacentral:rRNA from 1 species
GACGAACGCUGGCGGCGUGCUUAACACAUGCAAGUCGUACGGUAAGGCCCUUUUGGGUGUUCACGUGUGGCGAACGCGUGAGUAUCACGUGAGUAAAUUGCCCACAACUUUGGGAUAACGCUAGGAAACUGGUGCUAAUUCUGGAUAUCUGCUCUUGCUGCAUGGUGGGGGUUGGAAAGCUCCGGCGGUUGUUGAUGGACUGGCGGCCUAUCAGCUUGUUGGUGGGGUAAUGGCCUACCAAGGCGGCGGCAGGUAGCCGGACUGAGAGGGUGAGCGGCCACAUUGAGACUGAGGGAAGGCCGAGGCUCCGAAGGGAGGCAGCAGGGGGAAAUCUUGAACAAUGGGCGCAGGCCGGAUGCAGCAGCGCCGCGGACGGGAUAGCGGCCUUCGGGUGGAAGACCGGUUGCAGCAGGAAAGAAGCUUUUUGUGACGGUACCUGCAGAAGAAGCACCGGCUAACUACGUG